rnacentral:lncRNA from 1 species
AAAAAAAUUAUAUAUUUACAUGCAGAUUGUUCCGUUGUUUUGAACAAGAACUAAUAUAUUGUAACUAUUUGACAGGGCCAAACAAUGCAUGUUACUGUGAGAAUUAAAACUCAUGAUACUAUAAAUGUGGAGUUUGAUACACAAUUAUUGAUCAAAUAAGAAUGAGAAACCUGUUUAUGCAUUAUCAUAUUAAAAUUGUGGAAGCCAGAAAGUAUCACCUGUCGACCAAUGAAAUACAGAGGUAAGGAUCAUCGGAAAAUUUUCCUGAUUAGUAAUUCCAGUUUGCUUCCAAGGACACACUACAAGAACAUGCAGGGAAAGAUAAACAAUGCUCAGGUAUACUUAUACUUUAUAGUUCUAAAUAAGACUCAACUAAUUAAUCUUUCUCGCUAUGAAGUAUCUAAUCGCCAAUUAUACAGAUGUCAUUACUCACCCAAAUGAAGCAUGUGGAAUCAAGAUUAAUGGAGUAAGUGCAUAAUGCAUAACCACAUACUUUAAUUGGACUUCCAUCAUUGCAUUAUCAUUAAAUUUUCCAGCUUAAACUUUUCAUGAGUGAUAAAAUCAGAAUUACGCUAUAGGGAAAUUCUACUUUAUAUUUUCAAUGAGGAUGUAAUCGACAUCGAAACUAUCCUUAUUGUGACAUCAACAACCGUGCAGAAGUUUUAAUAGUACGUCCAAUAAAGUCACAACAUCUUCUGUCAUUUACAAACAAAUAACAGAUUUCCAUGAUUAAAGAGGAUUGUGCCUAAAAUCAACCACUGUCGCAAAUGUAUACAUAUCUAGAUACACCCGCAACUCAGGAACCUCUUGAAAGGUAUGGAACACUAUCUUGUAUUAUUUAUCAACUAAUGAAUCAUGACUCAUGUUUAUUAACCAAUGUAAAAUAAUAAUUAUACUUGACUAACUCCAUAUAUGCAGACACUCACCAGAAGAAACUUCACCAAAAAUGAUCGAGAUAGAUAGAAGUACACAAGGUACACUAGAAGAACAAGUGUCUUACAGAACUUAUUGGAAUGACGCAUGGAAACUAAGCAAAUCAGGCAGUCAUAAAACUUCUUCUAAGAUAUGACAUCACCACUUUUCAAGAAAAACAAGACUCUAAGACCUGCAGGGACAGUGAGCUAUAUCAGUUAUAAGCUUAUAAUGGAGCCAUAUUCGACUUAUUAAUGUAUGUCAACUUCUUCAGAUUGAUAUUUUUGAUUUUGUGGGUAAUUUAUUUAAAUUUUGCAUUCAUGGCAAUAGCUACAAUAGAUCUGUUGCAAGAAAAUAUUUGAUGUUGGUAUAUGUCAUGUGAUGAUUGUUUUCUGCAGCAAUAACAAUGCUAUGGUAGGCAUAGUAUUCGACUCCAAAUUAGUGGAUGUACAACUACUACAAGCUGCAGUUCCUUUAACGAGGGGUGGCAAAAAGUUGCUUAAUACAUUUGUCUUGAACUUGAUGAACUCAUUGGAUGGAAAAUCUGAAGAAGUGCAGAAGAUUAUACGAUAAUUAUGCUGAAAACAAGAGAAACUAUUUGUAUUAACUGAUAUAGAGUAAGAAUACUUGACAAUCCAUUAAUAUAAGGAGGACUUAUUAGGUAACAACGGUUUAUUUAUUUAUUUUCGAACGCGGAGGUGAAAGGCCUCAGUCGAUAAAUUAAGCAGAAGAGAAUUACCCAGUUAAUUAGCGGAAAACUGGGCGAAUACCAUGAUAACAACGGUAUAACAUUACCACUAUCAGAAGCAUGCCAUAUUGUAAUUAUUUAAAUACAUUCAGACAUGCACUUUUGUGAGUUUUAUAUUCUUGGUAAAAUCAAUUACAUGAACCAACAUUUCAGUUAGUACAUGUAAGCUGUCCUGCUUUGUCUUAAUACACAUACAAGUAAUAUAACUUGCUAAUAUAUGGUAACAAGAAAUAAAAAUACAUGUGAACAAUCAGCCACUAUGGAGGAACUAGGAAUGAUUUAAAGCCGUAGCACAUUACAUAGGUGGAAGCUGACAGCACCAGCAAUGAGGAAGCCCAUAGCUCGCCUCAACCUGCAGACUCUCUGUAAAUGCAAAGAGACCAAUCACAAAUGUAUAUUACUACUUUUUAAAACUGCUUUCAUGUGUAUAUAUGGUAAUAAGAGCGAACAAGACUUAUAAUAUUGGCUUUACGUAGUAGAUGGAUAUAAUGAGUAUAGUUUUGCUGUAUGAAGGUCCAUAUAAUCAUUAUGGAGGAGUUGAAGAGAUAAUAAUCAAAAUUUAGGUAGAAUGUCAACAUAAAAAAGAUCAUGCUCAGUUCCCUAACAAACAUAAGGCGCAUCAAUGGAUGUCAAAUAACUAUAAUCUUUAUCCUAUAACUAAUAAUCCUUACAUGAACCCAGAAUGUACGAGGUUAUCUCCUAAAUUAAAAUUCAACAGAACAGCAGAGUAUAUCAUCUGUAUCUCUUAAGUAAUCUAAAGAUAAUAUAUGUAAAAAUAACUUACAAGUACAUAUAUACUGCCAGGCAAGAGGAGACUACAGAGAAUAUCAGGAGAGUAUAGGAAGAGAUUCAUUACCGGCCCAUACUGCUCCACCUCAACGACGACAGAGAAGAUGGUCAUCCAACCUGACAACAAAUCUCUCAUUCCUGGCACGAUGAGUAGGAGAGUAGAGCUAACAACAAGCUAUCUCUCAGAUUCUCCCGUGGCCUGCCUCACCAGAUCAGAAUCUGCAAGAUGCGACCUAGCCGGUAGGCGGCUCAAGAUCCGCGGCUUGAAAGCCCGUCCCCUCCUUGCUCAGAGCUGGCCUCCGAGAGCAUCUUCUUCAAAGCUUCGGUGCUGGGCAUGCCACUCGAUUUGGUAUACAACCAAGCUUCCAAGACUACCACGAUAGAGCAAGGAAAGGGAGGAUCUACUUUCUCAUUUAGAACAGAGGAUGUAGAGACGUGAAGCAGUUAACCAAUUAGCCUUUUCUUUUGAUGGGAACCAAUUAGCCUUUGUUCCCAAUGAAGUAGACCAACUAGCCCAUUGUGACUUGUGAGAGUGACUCAAGAAAAAUAUUAAAAUAAUUUGUAAAAAAAACUUACAACAAUACUAGGUCGUGGGUCUAUUAGUAGAAAAUUUGAUAUCGUUCUGAUAGAGCAUAUAAUGGACCGAGGGGC